CUAAAAUGAGAGUUUGAUCCUGGCUCAGGACGAACGCUGGCGGCGUGCCUAAUACAUGCAAGUAGAACGCUGAGGACUGG
rnacentral:rRNA from 1 species